AACGACAGCGGCGGCGGACACCGGGUUUGGACGAGAGAGCAGGUUCGAAACAGGGCUGCCCCCCGCCCCGUGCCCCACUCAGAUGACAGAUGCUGUUGCAGUGUUAAUCAGCAAGUUGGCAAAUUAGCCAGUCAAGGUGAGAGUAAGUUUGGCAGCAUCACUUGCUCAUCACCGUAGUCACAGACGCAUCAUCCUUCUGAGCUCUGCUGCCUUUUGGUUCAUCCUGGAAUAUAACAGCAAGAUUUCAUUCCAGAUAUUCUUCAUUCUGAAAUAAAGGAGGACAGAGUUUCUACUGUCAGUCUUCUACUUUCCACACUGAGAACUAAGGUCCAGAUAACCAUCUGGUAUAAAUCAGACUGAUUCCUUUGACUUCACCAGGAUUAUAAUGCUCCAAGCCAGUUACAGAUCUCACCCAGUGGCUAAGGAAUAUUUGCUCAUUUUCACUUCAAGUUGGAAAAUACUGAUAGCUUUAAGUUUUCAACCAAACACAAAGAGCCUGUCCUAUGCCUUCAAUACCUUUCCAAUGUGAACAGUCUGGUACAACCUAACAUUUGCAAAUCUAGGAACUUGGAGAGAUGUGGUUUCCUACUGCUGAGUUCUGCUUGACACAAAGGAGAAACCCAUUCAUCUGUAAUUGCACAGAAGCAUGCAUGCUUAGCUGUUGCAGUCGCCUCUUCCAUCACCACCUGUUUCACCAGGCACUUGCACACAGGGUUCAGGAUGCAACAGCCUUAGCACAGUAGUGUACAGCUGGCACUGGGAGUGUGGCUCACAGAUCUGGAUGUGCAGGUCCAAAACUUGGGAGACUCAGCGCCAAAACACACCCCCUUCCAGUUCAGUAGCAUCAGGAACAAACCAUUAUGUCUGUAUAAAGGCUAUCCCAAACCAUUUAUUAACUGAGGGGGACAUGAAUGCCUGGCUCUUUCUGAUGCCUGAUGUCCAGAAAGAAGCUGUUGAUCCUGAACAAGUCAGCCUUUGAAAAAUCCAUGUAUGGAAAUCACAGCCAUUCAUUCAGUCUCUGUGCUGUGCUCUGAGUUUCUGCUGCCUCCUCUCCCCUGUGCCACAGCCAACACAGUUCAUUUUCCUUCCCUGCCUCCCCAUACACCCUCUCAGGACACAGCCAGGUGCUUCUUUAAAAACAGCUCCUUCCUGGUCCCCAGUCUUCCCCUUCCCUGCUCCUUCCUUCUGUCAACUAAUACCUGGAGAGGAUGUCCCUAUGCAUCAUGGUUAAUACAGUUUGUCAAUAUAAAAAAAAAGGCAACUGCAGUUGUUUAAAAUGAGGUAAAAUUUGGAUAAGACAGUCUCUCGCCUUGCAGAGGUUGCUAUGGAUUCUCUUGAAGUGUUGUGAUCUCUUGCCUCUAGGGAAAACAUAUCCACCACCCAAAUGACUCCUUGGCAUUGCUUGAUAAAAGUUUCACUUCUACCAAAAUAACUUUUCUUUCAGUACACACUACAUAGUCUGAUGGCAAUCAGGGUGAGGAUACUCAUGCUAGGGACUGUGCAGUCCCUGGAUGUGUGUAGCCCUUAAAACCAACUGAAUUCAACAGACAAACAACAGACAAAAAACAGACAACCCCAAGUGCAGAAAUAGCAGUGUGGCACUACCUAUUUCUUUUCAAAAGCAGAUUUUAUUACCUCCUCACAGCUGGUGCCUGGGUGGCAUCAGUCAUCUGGAAUUUGAGUUUCUCUCUAGGAACUUAGUUUUACCAGUAACAUUUUCAUCUGUUCUUCAGAGUUAGAAAGCAAGUGAAAAUUAAGAGCGAGUACACUCCAGGAUCCUCUGAGCUAUACUUUCCAGUUGACCACUGGACUCAAUUUUGUUGCCAGGCAUUUAUCUUCAUAACACAUGGAUUUGGUGUUACCUUUCCAGAGCUGUUUUCUGACAAGGAAUUUUAAUUUGAGGUGAUUUUUGCAGAGUGCAGGGUCCUGGCAGGACUGAUUCUGAGAAGUGCUCAUUAUGGGUGUGGUUAGCUCUCCUGGAAGAAUAAGACUAUCAUAUUUAAUAUGAGAGGCAGGAAAGGACAACAGCACUGGCCAUUUGGCCCUAGGAGACUGUAAUUUUCAGUAGAAAACAAGUAAAACUUGGCAUCAACUUUGAAACAUAAAAGUAACGCCUAUUAAUUAAUUAAAUACAAUUCACAUUAAAAUAAAUGGGAAUCACCUGAUUCAAAGCUAAUAGGUUUGUGUCAGCUGGACAGUUAGGAGACACCCUUAAUGUCCCCUUCUUUUUUGGCUUCUUGGGAUGGGCUUUGUUUUUCUUUUACCUACAAACUUCAGAUAAUGGCUCAGCUGUGGCUCAAUCAGUUUUUUAAAAUUAUCUUCCAACAUAAAGAGGUAUUUCAAAUCCUAAAUGUAGGGACUGGAAAGGAAAUCUGAAAGAGCACCAGAACAAAAAUAAACAAGGGGGUUGUCACCUAACAAACCUUUCAGAAAGACAAACAAGCCUCAAAAGCAAUAUAAAUUCCAUGUCUGCCUUGGCCUUGUAAGAUAUGCCUGGACUGGGAGCAUUAGUUUUACUACCCAGCUUUCAGGCACAGGUGGCUAUUCCAGCAGUAUGCAAAGGUUACCCAGCAAAUAUCUGCUCACUUGGGGAAUACAUCCCCCAUCACACCUGAUCUCUGUGUGCAUCAUACACUGGACAGCUGCAGAGUCAGUGCUUUUCCAAAAGGCUGAAGCAAUGAAAGUCCCUGUCUAGUUCUCCUACCUUCAAAUCUCAUGUCUAUAGUGUUUCUGGUCUUUUUUUACCAGUCUGACAGUUUACUUCUUCUGUGAAGACUGCCUUGUAAGUGUUCUUACCACCUGUUUAUGCAAGGGGAGACAAAUGUAAUCUCCUUGCAGUUGCAUAAUCUCAUCUGUAUUCAUAGCUAUAUGAAUACUGAUGCAAGUUUUUCCCUAUCCCUUUCCUUUUCCCAGUACAAGGAUCCUGUAACGAAGAGUCCCAAGGAAAGUCAGAAGAUCUGUUGUAGUGACUCACAUAUGCCCCAGCAAGACUUUUCUUAUAUAAGGCUGAGUCACUCAUUAGCUGAACCUUUGCAAAGAAAGGAAAAAACAAGGGCUUUUUCUUCAAUACUCCAUUCUCAUUUUUUUAUGCUACAGCAACAUGGAUUAUGCCUUCACCAGAAUUUUUAUUUCAUUUCCUGUGACUUUCCUGAUUUUCUUCUUACUAUUUCUUUCAUACAGCAGCAUCCUUAUGCCACUUGAACUGACUUGAGUCUUGGGCUGCUGGGCAAUAUAUUUCCAGGUGAAACUGGUUCUCUUGAAACCUCUUCUUCCAUUUCAUGUGCUCUGGGUGUUUCAUAUUUAUUUUUCAAAGCCGCAACAAUACACACAUGACUGAGAUGUAUUUGUCUCCCUGUGCCUAAAAUGCAGUUGUUGAGAGGUCAUUCCUAGUUUAUAUCUCAGAAUCACAUUGACUUAUAUACAGCCGUCACUCCACUGGCUGCCCAGCCUUCCCGCUUUGGGGAAACAGAGCAGACCUGUGUGUCUGCUAAUUUGUUGCAAACCUGAACAAGUCUCUUGGUGACUGUGAUUCCUGAAAAACAUCUCCCCAGAUCUUUCCUGCUGGUCUCUGUGAAUCCAAUACAUUUGAACAAAAUGCUAGGGCAACUCUCUUUCUGACCAAAAAAAUUAAUGUGGUAAAUUACUUUGAGUGAAAUUAGAGGAAAAUUGCAUCUUCACACUACUCAUAGUAUUUCUUUGUCUUUCAGGUUCAAAGUACCUAUAUUUUCACAUUAAAAAAUUUUGGUCCAUAUCUAAUUUCUUAGGCUUCACUGUCAAAUCUUGAUUAUGAUGUUGGUGGGAUAUGUCUAGAUGGCAAAAAAAUUAAAACAGAUUUACCAGAUUUUCCCCAGAACAAGUUUUAGGAGCCCAUGUGGCUUCAGCUACCCUUGAAAAGAUGAUGUAGAAAAAUAACCUGCCUUGACCUUUUACAGUUACAUAGUAAAAACCAAUGCAGUGCUUUUGUCCAGUAGGAAAACAAAGUGAACAAAGGUGUGCUGGUCAGUGACUGGCAAUUAAAUAACAUAUGGUGAAGUGUAGCUUAUAUCUUGCAGGGAUUUAAUGCCCAUGUUGUACAUCUACUGCCCAACAGACGGGAGUAUAACUGCUAACUUUUAUGUGUAGCAGUUGCUAAUGGGCUUCAGAUUUAUUUGGAAGAGAAGGUCUCUGAAGUUUGACAGAGAGUUCAAGCCCCAUAUUUAGUUUGAACCUUGCGCAGUGGACGGUUCCCACACCUCUGAGAUUUCCAACUAUCACAUCAUAUCCAUCUUUCUUCAAAUGAAAGCUGUCCCGAAGUGGCUAAUCACUGUCACAUCUUUCCUCCAUCAAGAGCCAGUCAGGGAUUACACACAUCUAACUAAUUUAGGCAACUGUAUCAAAUAUCUCUGCUGAUAGAUUGACACCAAAUAUUUGGCUUCAAACGUGGAGAUGCUUCAGGCAGAAACACUGUGAGGCCACAAUUUCAGAGACCUUAAAUCACCCCAGCCCAGCAGACACUUUGCAUUCCUACCCCUCACCUGCCCCUUUGCUGGUAUUGCCCCAAGUAUUCUUGCAUCUUCACAGUCCAGAAGGUGAAAGAAGUGAUCCAGCGAAAGAUAAAUUCACAACAACAAAAGAAAAUAAAGGUAAAUCUCAAAAUGGUUGGGUGGUCUAGCCCCCACCAGUACAUGACCCCACAGCAUGUCCAAGGCCACCAGGGAGAAGGAGGAGGUGGAAGGAUAGGACUCUGUGGGUAGGAUUGUUCUUUGUGGUGACAGUUAAUGCCAGGCCAAAUUGUUGGAGACCUGUGGCCACAGUUGAUGAAGGAAGGCAAGAGAUGAGUCAGGAGAGCACCAGCCAGGUGCCACAACAAGAUUAAUUCUCAAAGGUCCAGGCAUGUGUGCCUGGUUUUUUCCACUUAAGACUCACACAAAUAACUGUGACUGAUUUCCUACUGUGCAUGCUGUAAAUAACUACUUCUGCUUACAUUUUACUUUGGUCUAACUGAAAUAACAGUGAUUUUCAACACAAACAGCAUCCAUUUCUUGUCCAAAAAGAAUAGUGAAGUGUAGUUAUGGAUGCUAACUCUGAAGCAGGCAGCAUAGUGCCUGUGGAAUAGUAGGCCACAUAACUUUCUCAGUCUCACCUGAGAAAGUGGCCUGGGAAAUCAUAAAGAAGAAUUAAAACAAUCCUCAGAGACAGAAAACAGCCUUGCAGGUGGUUUGUCUGUUCCUUGUUCUCUUGCAAAAGAAGGUCGAGGCGUGGUGUACCCCACUGACCAAUGAUGGUGAUGUGUUAGUUUACUAACCAAUAAGGGUUUUUCUUUUCUGUACUUUCAU